UGGGGAAUUUUGGACAAUGGGCGAAAGCCUGAUCCAGCAAUGCCGCGUGUGUGAAGAAGGCCUUCGGGUUGUAAAGCACUUUUGUCCGGAAAGAAAUCCUUGGCUCUAAUACAGUCGGGGGAUGACGGUACCGGAAGAAUAAGCACCGGCUAACUACGUGCCAGCAGCCGCGGUAAUACGUAGGGUGCAAGCGUUAAUCGGAAUUACUGGGCGUAAAGCGUGCGCAGGCGGUUUGCUAAGACCGAUGUGAAAUCCCCGGGCUCAACCUGGGAACUGCAUUGGUGACUGGCAGGCUAGAGUAUGGCAGAGGGGGGUAGAAUUCCACGUGUAGCAGUGAAAUGCGUAGAGAUGUGGAGGAAUACCGAUGGCGAAGGCAGCCCCCUGGGCCAAUACUGACGCUCAUGCACGAAAGCGUGGGGAGCAAACAGGAUUAGAUACCCUGGUAGUCCACGCCCUAAAACGAUGUCAACUAGUUGUUGGGGGAUUCAUUUCCUUAGUAACGUAGCUAACGCGUGAAGUUGACCGCCUGGGGAGUACGGUCGCAAGAUUAAAACUUAAAGGAAUUGACGGGGUCAUAGCUGUUUCCU
rnacentral:rRNA from 1 species